UGAGUUUCUAUAUAUGUAUCUAAGUGAUUGUGUGUGUUAUGCAUGUAAGCGUAUCUGAUUGUGAAGACGCCUGUGGGUGUGUCAUUGCCUGUGUGUGCUUGAGAGUGCAUUGCGUAUUAGUAUACAGAGUCUGUUUCAUGUCUUUCUGUGAGUGAAAGAUUUGCAUGGCAUCUGCUUGUAAUAUGAUAGAUGAAGCCAUGGGGGAAAUGCAGAUGGCAUUAGCAGAGCCAAUGGGGAGAGUGCAAAGUGACCAAGGACAGAGCCCUGGGAACACAGAGUUUAAGGGGCACGUAGAGAAAAGAAGACAAACUAAGGCAGAAAGGGAGACACGGAUGGAGCAGAUCGAGAAAGGAGAAGUGGGUUUCAAGUAGGGAGGGGUCAGCCGAGUCCAGUAAAAUGAAGACUGAAAAGUGCCCAUUGGAUUUAGCCCCAGAGAGAUCCAGAAGAGCAGAGGAUAGGGAUGGAGGGACGGCAGCAGGCCGUGGUCUCCACAGUGUGAGGAGGUGAAGACAGGGGUGUGGAUAACACAUUGAGAAGGGAGGGAAGCGAGUGAGGUUCCACUGGAGAAAGAGCUUCUUCCUCCAAGAGGGUGAGGGUGGGCCAGGAGGUUAGGGGGGAGAAGGCUUGGAUCUCACCGGUGACAAGUUCGGGACAGGGAGGUAGUGGAGAGGAUUUGGGGAGUGGAGGAGGGGGUCAGCAAGGGACAAAGCCAAGAAACUUUCCGGCACGGUGGGUGGAGAUGCAGGGGAGGAAGCUUCCACCGCCAGGGGUCAGCACUUGCACGGACAGGCACUCGUGCACACGCUCACAAAACACACUUGGACACCCUCAGAGACAAAGACACCAACACUUAGAUGCACAGAAACCCAGGCAGACAUCAAACCCCACUCACAGAUACCAGAAAAAGGAUCUUCUCGGAGUGACAGAAGCAUGGCUCAGAUCCAACCCCGCAGACACCAAGAGGCACACACACGAUCGCUCUUGCACACAGACACCACGACAAAUCCAUGGAAACUUUUAAAACCCAGAUGUGCAUUGAAACACACUCUCACAUACAUGAAAACACACCUUGUGCAAAUGCAAGGUCACACACUCAGAGACCAUAGCAGGCACAUGCACGCAAACACCCAGAUGUCCACGCACACCCAGGCCAGGGUCUCCUCGUUUUCCGAGGAUCCUCAGGGCCCCCCACCCCUUACCGCCCACCACACACUGCUCUUUUCCUCUCCUCCCGGCAAUGUCUUGCCCAGCCAGGAGGUGAGGUUCAAGGAGCUAAGAAGGGUGCUAAGGGCUUGGUCCCUCCCCCAGGCCGGGGUUCCCAGGGGCCCCCCCAGCCGGAAACCCCUGCCCCCCUGCCCCAGCCCGGGCUGCCAUCAGCUGAUGCAUCUGGCAGCCCCUGGCGGCAGUCUCCGCCCCCCUUGCUGGCAGCCCCGUCCUGGCAAGGACUCCCUACCCUGCGCCGGCUGCGUCCCCCCGCAGUUCACUCACACUCCAGCGGCCCCCAUGGCUGACUCGGCGCUCAACCACUCCUGGCCGGCCCUCUCCAAACUGUGGCUGAAGCGGUGGGCCUUCAAGAGAGGCUCUGAGCCCAAGCCAUGUGUUCAGACUUUUGAGUCUGGGACUGCAGCCUCAGCCACCAACAGCAGCAGUGGUUCCUGCCCUGGACCUUGGAGGCCUGAGAAUCCAGACUUUUUCUCCUCCAUGGAGGAUGAGCAGGCAAGUGUCUAAUUUUGAGAUGGGCAGGAGAGGAUGACAAGAGUGGCAGCAAGCACCAUUUGUUUAGCAUCUGCAUUUUGCCAGGCAUUUUAUGCAUGUUAAAUGCAUAAAAAC
ensembl:lincRNA